rnacentral:tRNA from 1 species
GGGGACAUAGCUCAGCCCGGUAGAGCAGCGGUCUGUGGAACCGUCCGUCGCGGGUUCAAAUCCCGCUGUCCUCA